GUACACUCCUACGGGAGGCAGCAGUGGGGAAUAUUGGACAAUGGGGGCAACCCUGAUCCAGCCAUGCCGCGUGAGUGAUGAAGGCCCUAGGGUUGUAAAGCUCUUUUGUGCGGGAAGAUAAUGACGGUACCGCAAGAAUAAGCCCCGGCUAACUUCGUGCCAGCAGCCGCGGUAAUACGAAGGGGGCUAGCGUUGCUCGGAAUCACUGGGCGUAAAGGGUGCGUAGGCGGGUCUUUAAGUCAGGGGUGAAAUCCUGGAGCUCAACUCCAGAACUGCCUUUGAUACUGAGGAUCUUGAGUCCGGAAGAGGUGAGUGGAACUGCGAGUGUAGAGGUGAAAUUCGUAGAUAUUCGCAAGAACACCAGUGGCGAAGGCGGCUCACUGGUCCGGUACUGACGCUGAGGCACGAAAGCGUGGGGAGCAAACAGGAUUAGAAACCCUAGUAGUCCC
rnacentral:rRNA from 1 species